rnacentral:piRNA from 1 species
UGCAGAAAUAUUUCUUUGCCUCUUUUUCCUG